CAGGGAGACAACAAAAUGUUAAAUAUUAAUUUUGUCACCUUAGGUCGAUCGGUAUCUCACAUCCUUGAUUUAUUAAGGAUUUCAUUUUCUAAGUUUUUUCUAGGUCACACCCAUUACUCUUCCUGGGCCAUUAGCUCAGGUGGUUAGAGCGCACCCCUGAUAAGGGUGAGGUCCCUGGUUCAAGUCCAGGAUGGCCCAUAUCUCUAUGUUGGGGGUAUAGCUCAGUUGGUAGAGCGCCUGCUUUGCAAGCAGGAUGUCAGCGGUUCGAGUCCGCUUACCUCCACUGAUCACCGCCUCUUCCAUGAUUUAUAGAAGGGAAUUGUAUUGAGUUGUGAUCAAAUUCUGAACGAAUCUAGCUUCCUAAUUAAUCUUAUUAAGAUGCUGGACUCAUUGAAUUAAUUUUCAUUGUUUUCAGAGAACCUUGACAACUGCAUAGAUUAUUUUUAAAGACAAUAAGCAUCUUUAAUGAUGCAGAUUUAUUAUUUUUGCGAUUGCAUUAAUAACAAUUCUAUUAAGCUGAUGCUUCAAUUUUGAAGUUAUU
rnacentral:tRNA from 1 species